rnacentral:lncRNA from 1 species
AAACAGCGGGUGGUGAGAAGCUGUUCUUGGUAGCAGCACUCACUGAAAAUUCAAAACCCUUCAGACCUUUUUUGGUGAUGAUCCUGGAGCACAGGGAAAGAGUUUUAAUGCAAAAUACCAGAAAAAAAAGUCUGCAACAUCUCCUGUGAGAGGGGGGACAAAAGGAGAGUAACAAUUGCAUCUUGAAACACUCUUGAUUUGAGGUACAGUUUACUCUGUUCAAGUUGUAAACUCCAUGGAGCAGGUGUUUGUACAGUGCAUAGCACAGCAG